rnacentral:sRNA from 1 species
AGCAGCCGCGGUAAUUCCAGCUCCAAUAGCGUAUAUUAAAGUUGUUGCAGUUAAAAAGCUCGUAGUUGAAUUUCGGGAUCAGUACGCCGGUCGUGCCUUCGGUAUGCACUGGUGUCACUGGUUUCUCCCUUCUGAAGAACCAUCAUGCCAUUAAGUUGGUGUGGCGGGAAAUCAGGACUGUUACUUUGAAAAAAUUAGAGUGUUUAAAGCAGGCUCGCGCUUGAAUACAUUAGCAUGGAAUAAUGAAAUAGGACGUUUGACCCUAUUUUGUUGGUUUCUAGGAUCGACGUAAUGAUUAAUAGGGAUAGUUGGGGGGCAUUAGUAUUCAAUUGUCAGAGGUGAAAUUCUUGGAUUUAUUGAAGACUAACUACUGCGAAAGCAUUUGCCAAGGAUGUUUUCAUUAAUCAAGAACGAAAGUUAGGGGAUCGAAGACGAUCAGAUACCGUCGUAGUCUUAACCAUAAACUAUGCCGACUAGGGAUCGGAUGAUGUUAAUUUUUUAAUGACUCAUUCGGCGCCUU